AGCCACCCCUCAACCCCCCAUGCUUGCUAAAUAUCAACCAAUCAUGUAACUGCUAAAUGGAACAUCCCCAAACCUUGCGGUAGCCACAAUAAAAACCCUGCUGAUUUGGAAUUCAGGGCUCUCAAUCCUGAUCCGUUGCGUCGGUGACGGUUGAGUGCCCCUGCUCGAGCUUGAAUAAACAACCCUCGUGUGUUUACAUGGGCAACGGCUCCUUGGUGGUCUUUGGGGACUUUGCGAUCUGGGCACAACACUGUGAAGCUGAUCUCCAUGCUGCCAGCCAGGCGCUGCAGAGGACUUGGGCUUCCUCCAGCUCCUCAGAAAAUAUAUUUCUUGAGUUUCUUCCUUCUGUGGCAUGGUGUCUAGAUGUCAAACUUCCAAUUGAAGAUACCUCUUGCUGGGAGGAAAGUGGUUGA
rnacentral:lncRNA from 1 species